rnacentral:tRNA from 1 species
GGACUGUAGCUUAGUGGUACAGCACUUGCCUCACAUGUGUGAGGCACUGGGUUCAAUCCUCAGCACCA